UACGGGGGGGGUAAGCGUUGUUCGGAAUUACUGGGCGUAAAGGGCUCGUAGGCGGCCAACUAAGUCAUACGUGAAAUCCCUCAGCUUAACUGGGGAACUGCGUGUGAUACUGGAUGGCUUGGAUUUGGGAGAGGGAUGCGGAAUUCCAGGUGUAGCGGUGAAAUGCGUAGAUAUCUGGAGGAACACCGGUGGCGAAGGCGGCAACCUGGACAAGCACUGACACUCAACUGCGAAAGCGUGGGGAGCAAACAGG
rnacentral:rRNA from 1 species